CAAUAGCGUAUAUUUAAGUUGUUGCAGUUAAAAAGCUCGUAGUUGGAUUUCGGAUGGGACUUGCCGGUCCGUCGUUUCGAUGUGCACUGGCCAGUCCUAUCUUGUUGUCGGGGACUAGCUCCUGGGCUUCACUGUCCGGGACUAGGAGCUGACGAGGUUACUUUGAGUAAAUUAGAGUGUUCAAAGCAAGCCUACGCUCUGAAUACAUUAGCAUGGAAUAACACGAUAGGACUCUGGCUUAUCUUGUUGGUCUGUGAGACCAGAGUAGUGAUUAAGAGGGACAGUCGGGGGCAUUCGUAUUUCAUUGUCAGAGGUGAAAUUCUUGGAUUUAUGAAAGACGAACUUCUGCGAAAGCAUUUGUCAAGGAUGUUUNCAUUAA
rnacentral:rRNA from 1 species